rnacentral:rRNA from 1 species
CCUACGGGUGGCUGCAGUGAGGAAUAUUGGUCAAUGGUCGGGAGACUGAACCAGCCAAGCCGCGUGAGGGAUGAAGGUACAGAGUAUCGUAAACCUCUUUUGUCAGGGAACAAAGGCGGGGACGUGUCCCCGGAUGCGUGUACCUGAAGAAAAAGCAUCGGCUAACUCCGUGCCAGCAGCCGCGGUAAUACGGAGGAUGCGAGCGUUAUCCGGAUUUAUUGGGUUUAAAGGGUGCGCAGGCGGAUUUUUAAGUCAGCGGUCAAAUCGUGGGGCUCAACCCCAUCCAGCAGUUGAAACUGGGGAUCUAGAGUGUGGGAGAGGUAUGCGGAAUGCGUGGUGUAGCGGUGAAAUGCGUAGAUAUCACGCAGAACCCCGAUUGCGAAGGCAGCAUACCGGUGCACAACUGACGCUCAGGCACGAAAGCGUGGGUAUCGAACAGGAUUAGAUACCCUUGUAGUC